rnacentral:sRNA from 1 species
CUGAAUCCCCUGUUCCCUCCCAUGUACCCACUACCCAGGCUUCCCUCCCCCACCUGCCUCAGAGAAUGUUGCCACCUUCCACCUGGGCCUCCCCAGUGACCUCUGUUCACAGUCUCCUUUCUUCCCCUUCUUAGCUCUCUGGUGAUGAAUUCUACUCUGACGUGGCCAAAGGCAUCCUGCAGUAUGUGGCUCGGAGCCUGAGCCACCGGGUGUGUGUCCAUGGUGGCAGGCAGGCCUGGCUGUGGGAGGGGUUGGGGCUUCCACUGCCCUGUGGGCCGGGGCCAGCCAACUCUCCCCUCCCCACAGUCCGGAGGCUUCUAUAGCGCAGAGGAUGCAGACUCGCCCCCAGAGCGGGGCCUGCGGCCCAAAGAGGGCGCCUACUAUGUGUGGACGGUCAAAGAGGUUCAGCAGCUCCUCCCGGAGCCUGUGUUGGGUGCCACUGAGCCGCUGACCUCAGGCCAGCUCCUCAUGAAGCACUACGGCCUCACAGAGGCUGGUAACAUCAGCCCCAGUCAGGUGAGGACUUCUGGGGUCACCUGACGGGCCCUGGUGCCUGCCAGGCAUGUGAGCUCGCAGACAAAGGCCAUUCUCCUCAGGACCCCAAGGGGGAGCUGCAGGGCCAGAAUGUGCUGACCGUCCGGUACUCGCUGGAGCUGACUGCUGCCCGCUUUGGCUUGGAUGUGGAGGCCGUGCGGACCUUGCUCAAU